AGCAGCACAAACAGUGGUCUGACGAAGCUCUGUCUUCUGCUGUCGGGUUUAACGUGUAAAUUUGGUUUUUAGAGCCGACAGCUGAUCGUUUCCGGUCCGGAGGAGGAAUUGUAACUUCCGAGUGAAAUAUUUACUUCUACUUUUUAGUCAGAGGAAACCUUCAGGUGGCUUAAAAUACAUGGAUGCAAGAUAAACUGAUGGCUGAGCUUAUACCGCCGGACUCAAGAAGGUGUAAUUAUUUCUUCCUCUAUGAUGGAUCCAAGGUCCAAGGAGAGGGCGACCCUACCAGCGGGGGGAUCUGCUACUUCUACCCCGAGGAGACCCCUUUCGAUCAGCAGGAGCUGCUCUGCAGUCAGUUUGCCGGCGUGGGUCGCUGUGUGUCCGAGCUCUCCUCAUCUCCUGUUCAGACACUCAGGCUGCGGCGCAACAAGUUCGCCAUCCGCAUGAAAGAUGACUUCUUAUGGGCUCUGGGCUGCUCGGUGGACGUGCCGACUGUCAGCGUCUGUGAGCUCCUGGAUCGGCUAAUAAACCUCUUUUGUUUCUACAACGGCUCUGUGCGCCAGAGCUACCAGCUCAACAGUCAGGAGACUCUGGCGGCUCGGUGGGCUCGGUACCUCUCAUACCUGCAGUCAGGAUCCUCAGAGAUGUGUCACAUCUUCAGCUGCUUGAAAACAAUUGACUCGACCAAUGUUGACCCUCUUCUCCUGCUCAAAGCUGCCCUCAUUCUGCAGGCCUGCCAGCGCUGCCCUCUAGUGCUCGCAGGCUGUAUUCUCUUCAGAGGACGAGUUGUUAGCACACAGAUGUCUCCAGAGCUCACAGUGAAGGUCAUGGUUCAUGAGAGUGAAACAUACACCAAGGGCCAAAGGCUCAAUGGACCGAGCACAUCCAGCUCAUUCGGUGGUGCUGUCAGCUCUACAACCGUAUUCUUGACUAUGUCUGAACUCCAGUACCUGCAGUCUGCUCCUGUCGACAAAGAUUCCAGUUCACAUUCUACUCCUAGCAAAAACGUCCCUCCGAAGAAGACCCGCCUGUCAAGGACUCUAUCCGACACGCCCUCUACAGAGUCAGAACCUUCUUAUCCAAGUUCGUCCCAGUCGCCCCAGAAGACGUCCUUCAGCCCUCACUUGUCAGAAUCAGAUAACUCUGUGUGCAGCCCGACUGCAUCACAAAGUACAGCUGAUUCACUCAACCUCUCACUACUGUCACUCAGGCCUCCUCUGUCGAAUGGAAAACACCCUCAUGAAGCUGAGGAGGACGUGCUGGAGGAGUCGUACUAUCACAGUUUUCACAAUGGCGGAGAUGGAGGCAGCCAGAUACACAGUGAAGGAGACAGCUCAGUGUUUGAAGAAAAUUCCCAUGUCAAUGGAGACGGUGACGCAGCUGGUGGGACAGUGUUUGACUUCAGAGGGACUGAUUCUGGGAAUGAGCAGUCACAUGAUGAUAAGAUGUUGGUGGGAGACGGUGGAGGCUGCGGUGGGAGGAAUCAAGGCCGCAAGGCAGAGAUGAAAGAUCCUUCUCAUCUCUCUGGUGCUUUUGGCAACUUAGCGGAGAGUCCGUUGGUCGGCAUGACGCUGUACAUGCACCGGGUGAAGGGCCUGGUGUUGGCUCUGCUGGUGGAGCCUCAUUUCUUGAGUGACGCAGCGUCUAUGGAGGAAGUGUACCACAGCAGCCUGGCUUCACUCAAUGGACUGGAGGCCCAUCUGAGGACCAUCUCUUCAGGGGCCCCCGGUGCUCCAGGACCCUACAUCUUUGCCCAUUUUGACUGCAUUCAGAGCACAUUGACAACCAACCUGUCUGGCCGACCAGGGGGAGCCCCGGAGCAUCCUUUUGUCAGAGCCACAUCACUCCUUCACUCGCAUUUCUGUAACACUGAAACUCUGCAGGAGGCUAUUAUCAGGAGCGCUGGUGCUGCUGUGUAUGGAACCCGCAGCGUGGCCCAGGAGACUUACUUCCAGCAGCACGGAGGAUCGCUGAGGAACUCGGGCAUCCCUAACCACCAGGACAGCGCUUUCUCACUGCCCAGCAAGGCCCGACACAGACUGCUGAAACACGGGGUUAACCUGCUCUGACCGAUCAUCACAACGCCUGCUCAGUGUUCAAGAGGAGCUCGAUUCAAAAAUUUAAACACCUGUCCUGGGGUUUGUGUCCUUCUUAGGGUCAUCAGAGGCCUGCAUGUGACCCUCACAAUCCGGCUCUCUUUGUUUUCCGCCUUCAGUUUAACGCCUCGUUUUAAAAUGGCCUGGAGCAGUACGUGCGCACCGCUGUUGAAGCCACACAUGCUUGUAAAAAUGUUACUGUGCAUGUUCUGCGCGCAUGUUUCUGUGCUGCAUGUGCUGUAAAUGAGAUGGGUCUUGAUGAUCCAAAUAUGGAGUAAUUAGAGUCAUUAGCUAAGUAGCUGAAUGUGAAUGGACGGGUCGGCGCUCUUCGGGGCGCCUCAUUAUGCAGGCGCAUUAAAAGAAAGCAGUGGGAGUCAAAUGGGUGGUUAAGGGCACGGACAAAAAGAGGGGCAGGGACUGAGAGGAGGGUCAGGAUUCAAACUGUAAGUGGUUUGUUGCCCCCAUUGUCAGAAGGGUAUAUAACCCGCACACCAGACUUCAUGAAUGUAACAUUUGGAGAGGUGGCGUCACGGAGAAGCUGCUUGAAGAACCAAAGGCCGAGAGUUGGGAUUGCACCAUGGCCUCUUCAAACUGCAUUUGGAUUGUUUCAUUUCUCAUCACAGCGAUGACAAGUAACUUUGGAGUAUUUGGUCGCGCGGUGGACACGCUGGAAUUUCUGUCACAGCUGUCCAAAACUGCACACGAAUCCCCCGAGCCAGCUUUACGCACGGCCGCGUCUCGGAGGAGGAUCGCGGAGGCGCACCGGGAGCGAUGCGCAGAGCUGGCGGCACCUUGGCUGGAAAAUAUGCAACAAGCUCCCGGUGAUAAUGGAACACUGUUGCAGCUCCGUGUUCGGCCGUUUUCACCUGGAUCCUCACGGGGUUUGGUUUUUCCAGGAAAAUCUCUUUUCAGCUUUGUGCGGCGGGUUUAUCGCUGCUGUCAGGAAGGAGUGAACUGCAGGAGCGUUAAAGGGAUUCAAGGUCUACUGAGAGCAGGUAGGACAGAUUCAUGUCACAGGAAACUUGAAUUUGUUGGGUUGUGCUGAUCCAGCUCUUUGUGGGUGAGGUUGCAGAGGCCAAUCAGAAAAAGUGAAGACCAGGCUGAUGUUCACGGUGGUUAAUUCUACUAAAUAGACAUCAGUGUAACAUAUAAAUGCAGCUGUUGUGUAAUCAAAGCAAUCCUCACAUCUAUGAACAUCAGCCACCGACAGGCCCUGAGGACAUAGGCCACUAACACUGGUGAAACAUUGUCCAACUUGAUGCCAUCAGCUAGUUAACAUUUAGGUUGAAUGACUCUUGAUCCAGCUGAUUAGAUUUGGAUUUAAGAAAUUUCCACCAUGAAAAGCUACUCUGAUUUUAAGUCAAAGAAAAGUAGAAACAGUGCUCCAGAAAUCCUUUUCCUUUAAUAAUCAAAUUCACUUAGAUACUCUUUUAAGUCUCCCGAUGAAGACCGUCUUAGAAGUUCUGAUGUGGAUGACAGAGAAGAGCAGGUGGCUGCAGCAGUUUUGCAGAGAUAUAUGUAAUAUUCCCGGAUAAUAAAGCCCAUUCAGAUAAAAGGAAGGGAAUAUGAGCAAAGAUGAGUACACAAUUUAGCAAAACAAAAAUAGAACAGAUACUUAAGGAGCCACAUACUAAACAUACA